UCGUCUCCAGCAGCACGACCUUGCUUCGUGUUUCUAUCAGCAGCAGCGGCUGCCUCCCGGCCUGGUGUUUACAUAAAGAUGAGAAGCAACUGGACACUCUGCUCAUGCUGGCCCAAGGCAGAGCUGACAGCAGCAGGACAACAAACAUAUGAUACUCAAAUUUUCACACCCAUAAAACACAAAGAUUUCUAACGUGUUUUGUGCAUGUUUACUGGGGGCUGCACCACCUCUGGGAAGAUAUUUAAGGAACAGAAUUUAGAGCGCUGCAAUGGACUGUGAUUGCUCCUCCUGGCUACUGGGAUGCCUUGACUUGCGGUGCAUCGCUCCAAUCUCUGCCUC